UUCCUUCUCCUUUAUUUUUCUUCUUAUUUCUCUAUCCCCUUCUUUUAAAUCUCCUGCCACGGCUUUGUCUCUAGACCUCCACGGAUCCCUCUUAUUCCCCGCCAACGCCCUCAGUUCGCAAUUCAAAUUGCGGCGCGAAAGGAGGACGGUGCUUUUGGCGCGAAGGUCGAAUGUUCAGGAGCCGCGCCCGACCAACGGUCAACCACGUACGAAAAGAAAAGAAUCCCUUCCCAGGUUACAUAUAUCUUUCUUCUUCUUCCUCCUCCUCCUCUUGGAAGACCUGGAGGGGGGGGGUUGCAAUUCUCAUCAAGGUUUCAUCUGGCAUGUCUCCAUGCCUCCAUUUCUUUUGGGUACUCAUAAGAUUGUAUUGUAGAAGUGUACAAUUAAUCCAAUAGCAUGUUUUACUUCUUUUACAAUUAAAUAUGUCUACGGAAGAGUGCAUUAUGUAUGUUACAAUGACAAUCAAGGGCAAAGACUGCCUUUAAUUUGCAUUUGCUGAUGGUAAAACAUGUUCUGAGGUCAUAAUAUUCAGUGAAGGCAAAGCAAUGGUCAAGUUAGGAAACUUUUCAAGCAUUUCAUCUGAGAUAAUUAUUUCAUGAUUUUAAAAUGGGAAUAAUUUGCUGCCAAGUUUUUUUAUUGGCAUAUACUCCUGCUUUGCUAGGAAGUGUCCUGCCUUGUUCCUAUCCGAUAGAGUCUGAAAAUUGAAGCUCUACUAUGGCAAGCCAAUCUUAACUGGAAAUUUUCACUUUCAAUAUUUUACAAAUGCCUUCAUGAAUGCACCUCACAGGAUGCCCCUUCAAUCUUGGAAGAUAUUCAUUGAUUACAUAUAAAAGUAGGAGUUCCUUAUUUUUGAUGUAAACAUGUCUGUUAGAGACUCGAGUAUCUCCUGGAUUGUUCCUUUGCCUGGGGAGGAGGAGGAGGAGGAAAUGCAAUGGAUCGGCCAUCACAAACAUUACAUAUUCAGCCAUACCAAGCAUCAGUGUGCUCUGUAUUUGUGUGGUUAUUGCAAUGCAAAUGGGCAACCAUACUACGAAGUGGACUUCUCAACCAAGAAGGCCUCCUUUAUUUCUUGUUUGGCAACCAUAGGAUCAUCUGUCUUACAGAAAGCAAUUAGGGGUGUUGCAUUGCUUCCGAUUGAUAGGUCUAUCAUGAGGAUCUAAGCUAAUCCAAGGCCCCUUUGCACCUCCCUAUCUCCUGGUCACCCAUCUCUUUUGUUCUUAUUGCUUUCUUCUUUUUUAGGUAUCCUUUAGAUGACACAUUAAUUUUCAUCAAAGUACUUGUCUAUUCUCAAAUCUUAAACUCAUGUUCACGGAAAUUACCCAAAUCUAUUGUUUGUCAUACUGGUUGGUUUCUUUUCCUCUGUCUUUCAAAAAUAUAUUAGUUUAAAGUUAGAUACCUUGUUAGGUAAUUGCAUGGUAUUCAUUUUUUGUCCUCAAGUUAAGUACAUAUUUACACUUGCAUUGACUUUUUACCCAUUGAGAAGUCAUAGAGUGAAUAACUACUGUGAUUUGGUUUCUUUUGUUGUCUAAAGUUAAUAAAAAAUACUGAAUUUAGGAUGGUAUGUGUUCAAAAAUGUAAUGAUCAUGAUCAAUGUGUUCUGGAAUCUCAGUUGUACUUGGUCUAUUCAUGCACUUUGACACCUGAAUUUUAUCAACACCAUUUCAAUUUCUGCUACUUGAUGCAUAGGUUCAAAUUGUCCGAAGCAUCUGAGUUUUUAUAUAUCAAUCUUUUUUAACACUGUGGAUUGUCAAUCUAGAUGGCUCAUCAUGUAUUAUUGUGCUCCAAUUGUUUGCUCUCAAUUUUUCACAGCAGGAUUCUAGCUCAACGUAUAUACUAGGUAUGGUUCUAGCAUUUCUCUCCCACUCAAAUUAUGUUGAUACAUGCAUAUAUAACUUUUGAGUAGUUCUGAGAAUUUAUUUUCUUUCAUUUCUUAUAUUGCAUUCAAAUACUUACUAUUAUGGAAGCAAGAUAACGAAUUUCUCCUUAUGAUUGGGGAACCUUAGCUUUGAAUAAUGGCUCUUUUGGGCAUAAACUACUUGUAAGCUAAUGCAUGUUGACGUUUUGCUGUGUCGGGGUUCUAGCUCUCAUUUAUCUAAUUGUCAUAUGUUGUUCAGGGAAGCUGGAAGCAGAUGAUGCUGUUUUUGGAAGUGGUGUUGGUGGACCAUGCUGUGCCGGACUGUUAGCUGGAUACAAGCAGAAUGUUCUUGUGUUAGAAAGUCAUAAUGUUUUCCAGAGGUUCUUGACGCAUUGGGAGAGGUCCAUUCCAUGUGCACCCUAUGAUCAUGGAUGGUUUACAUACCUGAAGGCGAGUUUUUGUCAUGAAUAGGCCCCACAGAGUUUCUCAAGUCGGUGGCUUGAACAGCUAGGAAGAAUCAGGAGAAGUGAAGAAGUCGGUGGUGUCUUCUUCAAGAAGAAUCAAGAGAGUGGAGAAGUUGGUGGUGUCUUCUUCAACAAUUAGUAUUACUUAUUUCAAUAUACUUGUCUAUAUUUUUGCUAAUUCAUGUUUAAUUCUAUUAUUUUGAUAAUCAAAUGAGUUAGGAUUUUUCAUGGUGUAACACUAUGACCAAAGUAAACUAAUGGACUAUGAUAUGUUCACCAGUCAAUUUAUCAGUGGUCAAAAACCAUAAUUGUUUUCUGUUAUUUAAACCGUCUUUUCUGACCACUGGAUAAAUAGGCUAGGGAUUUUGAAAUCAUAUGAUUUUUUUGAUAGUAAGCCAGUUUAGAGAUAGUAGAUCCACAUCCAACUACUUAUAUCAUCAUGUCGGGCCCCAUCAUCCGGUCAGGACCAACCUCACAUGGUGCUAAUAUACUUACACAAGUUUGUUAGCAUUCCUCUCUCUAUGGUGGAUGUACAAACUAGUAUUGGAGGCUUGUGAGAUUGUGGCUUGCCAAAUUGUUCAUUCAAUAGAAACUUCCCAUGACCUAGCCUUGUGGCCGAAAGUAGCCAAAUUUGUGAUUUAGAAAGUGUGCUAUUAUUUCUUUCAAUGCAUGAAGCUUGCUAUGGUAAAUUUCUUGCUGAUAUGAUUAAGUUUUCGCUUAAUCAUAUUGAAUUCCUACAGUUUUACUCUUGGGCAGAUGAUGUCAUUAACGUGCGUUGAUUUCUGCUAUGUAACUUCUUACAGGACCUCGAGAAGCAUCUAGGUCUUGACACUUCCC